GGCAGAGGAACGCAGGGCUGAGUCACGGCCGCAUCGUGCCAGCACUGCCUGCCCGCUGCCUGCAGUGCCUGGGAGAGUUCUCCGUGUUUCUCUCUCUUCCCUUUCUGCACAGGAAUCGUUACUCACUCUGCACACAAUGCCAGGGUAUUCUAUGUCUCUGUGAUGGCAGCAGAGUGCAGCCCUAGGGCUUGACCCCAGCCUCAGCCUUUGCUUGGGGACAGUUAGCAUGGAGACAGCACCUGCCUGCAUAGCCUGAGCUUGCUUGGAGGGAAGUCAAUGGUAACGGCCUUCUCUAUGAAAGGAACACUAAGUUUACCUGUGAAGGAGGUAUUCCCACCUACGCCAAAUGCAUGACUGGAGAGAAUUUCAAGGCGUGGGCAUAGAUGCAUGUAACAGAGACUUGAUUUAAAUAAAAAUUGAGUCCAAAUUACUCAUCUGCUUUAAGGACUUUAGUUGUACACAUGUGAACGUCACUGCCCAGCAUGGUUCAUCACAGCUUCCCCUGCUUUUAACACCAUACAGGUCACACUGAAACCCAGUGAUAUCACUGUUCCAAAAUCCCCUUUAUCCUCAUGGUGAAUAUGAACACAGUGUUUUAAACACCUUUGUUAAUCCCUGCUGGAGAAUAACAAAUCAUUCGUUUGAUUAAACUUUAUCUCUCAGACUUGGACAGACAUGGCUGCAACAUGAAAUGCCCCAAGUGAUAAGAGAGCUGAGCGGAGCAGGUCACACUAACUCUGUGUUGAAACACAGAUUUAGAUGUUAUACUGAUCUUCAGGUGAAGGCUGAGUUAUUGGAAGUGAUGCAGGCCCUACUUCUCUGAUUGGCACAAGGACUGAUAAACAUUUCAGGUAGCCCAGGAAGAGUUGAUGAGCCCAGCUGGAAGUUUUGGCUGAUCCCUAGGAAAGGCUCAGCAGCACCAACACGAGCUCUGGAAAACAAUCCCCUUCUCCCAAGACAAUAUCUGGGAUAUGGAAAUAAAUAAAUGGAACCCUGCCUUAUAUUUCCUUAGAAAACAGGGUUAGAGAGCUCAAGGAUCCUCUGUGGGGACCUGAGCUUCCCCCAGCACUGCAGUGCUGGAGCUGGAUGAGCCCCACCAUCUUUAAUCAGAUCACUGGAAAUAUACAGAUGCUGAUCCGAACCCAAAUGGAAAUCUUACAUUAGGACAGAAUAUGGUGUAGGUGUUUUGGAAGCGUGGAUGUGUUCAGUGAAACACUCUCCCUCUGCGGAUGCUAACCUCGCUCGGACUUGUUUGUUCUGCAGCACCUUCCUUGCUCUGUAUGGUUACAAUUUAGCUUGCAUUUUUUUUAACCUAAAAAAAAAAAAAAGAAAAGGGGUAAAGUGAGAAAACAGAGGGUGGGGGGGAGAGUGAAAAAAAAAAAAAAAGAGAUUUUUAAAUCAACUGUCAUUUCUGGCAAGGCUGAGGAUCCCGGCAAGGUAUUUGUUUAUUAUCAGGUAUUUCCUCAGGAUCAAAUCCAGAGGAGAGAAGUCUGGUACUAGUUAAAGUCUGUUUAAAAUCCUUCUUGAAAAGAGAUUUAUGCGAGGAAAUUACCUAACCUCAGGACAGAGGCUUAGUCAGAGGCAGCGUGGUUCAGCCGCUCGCAGUGCGCGGCUUUUUUUAGCCCCACUGAAGGCACCCAGUGAGAACAGCGGCAGAUUUUCGCUCACAUAACGGGAUCAAAGCUCCCAAUUGUUUCGAAGGAAAUGACCCAGCGGGAGGAGCGUGGUGGGCACUGCUGUUUGCUCCCAGCCUCCAAACGGCUCUGCGGAUGGAUCUGGGCACGCGGGGUAUCUUGCGUGGUGGUCUCACUGCUGGUUCCCUUCUUUGGUGGGACAGCAUCCCCCCAAAUCCCCUUUAUUCCAGCUGAGGCUGUAUAAAGAAGCCCACGCCUCUGGUCCUUGGCCACUUUUCUCUUUGUAAUAGGAAGGUGACACGCAGCACUGAUGCAGUGGCAGGAGGGGACAGCAGGAGGGCAGCCCCAGUGGGCCCCAAGCGGCCACUGUGAGGGUGCUGGGGAGUGAAUGUGCAUGGGUGAAGCAGUGGAUUUAAGAUACAGGGGAAGGGAAACGUGAUCCAUCUCAGCAAACAGCAGCAGAGGGUGUGUGUAAUGACCAAGACAGGCACUGAAUUUAAAGCACAAAGGAUGGAAAAACCUAUUAGUUCAUCCCUGCCACUUCCCUGCCAGCAGCAGUCGGAUGCAUUUCAUUGUCUCAGUGAUGGGACUUCCACUGUUUCUUUGGGAAAAAAGUUCCCAUCCGCAGCCUACUUCAGGGAUGCUUCACCCCACGGUCAGGACAAGCCACUGCAAAGCACGUGGUCAGGGUUGAGACGAGGUUUUGAAGGCAAAACACCGACUGAGCAGGUUGAUGUAUUAUUUUUCAAGGUCACCACUAAAAUAUCUGGCAGGCUUAUCCCCCGUCUGGGAAAUUUUACUGUACUUGCAGAAAACAACCAAUAUUUUUUAUUCUGGUGCCCAACUCUUAGCUGUCUGUGUUGGUUUAACUUCACUGACCCUAAAACACAAACCUAGAGUAGUGCAGUGUUGAACCAGUUCCCUAUAUGGAUAUGAAUUAUGUGUGUAAUACUGUAAAUUAUUGUGAAACAAACAUCCAGCAAGCA